CAGGAAGUAGUUUAUAGAGAAUGUCAGCUUUGGGUGUUGAUGGAGGGGCUUUAGUCUCCUUCCUGAG
rnacentral:tRNA from 1 species